GACAGAGGUGCCGAGCGUUAGGCGGAAUCACUGGGCUUAAAGCGUGUGUAGGCGGGCGGGCAAGUACCUUGUGAAAUCCCACGGCUCAACCGUGGAACGGCUGGGUAUACUGCCUGUCUUGAGCCAACUAGGGGCGAGCGGAACAGACGGUGGAGCGGUGAAAUGCGUAGAUAUCGGGAGGAACACCUGUGGCGAAAGCGGCUCACUGGACCACAACUGACGCUGAGGCGCGAAAGCUAGGGGAGCAAACAGG
rnacentral:rRNA from 1 species